rnacentral:lncRNA from 1 species
GUCAGUGGCGUAACGUUAUAUCAGGGGGCCCCCGGUUCAAAAUUUUCGAAGGCCCCCCUAGUAGAAGUACCAAAGGCACGAGUCUAGCGCCGUAUAUGCACGAGUUUUCUAGGGGGUCCAGGGCAUGCUCAUCCGGAAAAUUUUUUAAUCUAGACUCUCUGAAAUGCCAUUUCCUGGACUUUGGGGAGAGAUUUUACAGAAUUCUGAUGGUCAUAAAACGUCAUUGUAACAUAUCA